CAGAUACUGUGUAUUGUCUGCUCUUAUUAUCCACUGAACAAAAUGAGGGCUUUCUACAUUGUGCUCCCUCUGCUGAUAUCUGUGUCAUAUGUCCUCUCACAAGCAGUUACAUUGGAUCAACCUGGAUCUCUGACUGUUAAACCUUCAGAGACUAUGAAACUGCCUUGUAAAGUUUCAGUGGCUGUUACUAGUUAUUACUGGGGCUGGAUCAGACAGCUUCCAGGAAAGGGACUGGAAUACAUUGGUCGUAUUAGCAGUGGUGGGGGCUCGGAACCUGCUUCUUCUUUUAGCAGUCGAGCCACUUUCACCAGAGACACCGCAAAGAAUGAAGUUUAUGUCCAAGUCACCAAUAUGAGAAGUGAAGAAUCUGGUGUAUAUUACUGUGCAAGAGACACAGUGAGACAAGGAACUACAGACUGA